rnacentral:rRNA from 1 species
GAUGAACGCUGACAGAAUGCUUAACACAUGCAAGUCGAUGGGGAAGUGGUGCUUGCACCAUGGUAACCAUGGCGGACGGGUGAGUAACGCGUAAGGAACUUACCUGCGGGACCGGGAUAACAGCAGGAAACUGCUGACAAGACCGGAUAAGGUCAUUAAGCUGCAUAGCUUAGUGAUGAAAGGAGACGCCUGCGGAGAGCCUUGCGUCCUAUUAGCUAGUUGGAGGGGUAACGGCCCACCAAGGCGAAGAUAGGUAGCCGGCCUGAGAGGGUGGACGGCCACAAGGGGACUGAGAUACGGCCCUUACUCCUACGGGAGGCAGCAGUGGGGAAUAUUGGACAAUGGGGGCAACGCUGAUCCAGCAAUUCUGUGUGCACGAAGACGGUUUUCGGAUUGUAAAGUGCUUUCAGCAGGGAAGAAGGAAGUGACGGUACCCGCAGAAGAAGCGACGGCUAAAUACGUG